ensembl:lncRNA
GUGACCUGGCUUUGUUCUCAGCAGGGCCUAGGUCAGAAGCUCCCUUCCCUGCUGUCUUUACACAGAUGUUAGCCCUGUGGAGACAGAACUCCAGGUGAUUGGACCAUAGGUGGACAUCUGACCCUAAGGAAAGCAGUCAUUUGAAGGCAGAAUCAGCUACACUGAAAAGCGAGUCCCUGUCUCAAAAAAACAAAACAAACAAGCAAAUAAUCAGCUACACUGUCUUCCAGGACUUUAGACAAAGAAAGAAAGAGGCACAUUGAAGGCAAUAAAUGAAAAGAUCUCAAUAAAGUCUUUGGCACAAUGUCUGACAGGAUCAAUAACUUCUUCAUCUUCACCUUCACAUCAUCAUCAAUGCCACAGAGAAGAGUAGCCAGAGAGAGUUAUGAUGCGGACCCAGUCCUGCUGCUAGGAAGGAGAUUUAAUCAUAAGCCACCCACUUGAUCGUGAACUGGGUUCUCAUAAGAAUAUCUUCCCCUCACUUUUAAGGAAAACUUAUGGAUCCUUUGCAAAUGAGAAGGAGACAAAGGGACAGAGGGAAGAGGGCAGGCAGGGAGGGGACAGGAAGGGUGAGUAAAAAGAACUAAGAUGUGUUAUGGACAUGUUCCAGCG